UGUUGUUAACGCAACUAUUUCAAGAUAUUUUUAAAUAAAAUGCAAUAAUAUCAAUAUUGAGAACAAUGUGGUUGAAAUUACCAUGUCCCAAGACUAUAAUACCGUGUAGUUUCAACUUUGUGGUUAUGGUCAAAAGUAAAACUUCUUGAAGUCAAAAUUGACUACAUGUGUAGUGAUGGGUAAAGGAUAAUGAUUUCGAUUUUACCAUGGCCAUGGUAAAAAUUACAACAUAGAAAAAAAUCUCAAGCUCAUCUCAGUGGAAGACGCCAUUUUUGUCUAUCGGUUCUUUUGCGUCUAACCAUCUAACCGAUGGAUAAUUUAUUUUGUUAUUGGAGGCAAACAAUAAUUCGUAUUUCAAAUUUAAAUAAAGCCUUGCAGAAACGACAACCCAGAGAUACUUGAUGAUCAAGAUAUUGGUGCCCGUGAUAAAAAAUCCUAGAAAAUGAAUGUUACGAAAUGGUUUCCCCAUGGUACUGGAAUGGCCCCCAGUGUUCGUACGCCGGUAACCGUAGCUUCCACCCGAUAAAGUUAUGCAUCUUUUAGUUGGCGGUCAUCACAUCCAACGAGCCGGGCGUAGUAGUCAGCUAAGCACCAAUUGAACCGACUGUGGAUUGAAAACCGCUCUAUUAGUGGCCUCGAAAGAUCUCCAAGUUCUGCAGCAGUCACGAGCAGAUCAACGCGUCACUGCAUCUCCGCACGGCUAGCUGAACCUGACCGAAGAGGUGUGGAUAAAUUAUCAUAAACUUAAAAAUAUAAUUAAGCAAAAUUGAUUAACUUAAAAUUUAUAUUUAAUUCAAUAUAUACGCAUUAUGCUUCAAAUAACGAAUUUUGCAAAAUAUCGGAAGAUCAUACGAUACAGAUCAGAUAUUUUGCAAAAAUUUUCAUAUCUGAAUGCAUUAUGUGUGAAUCUUUAGCAUUUGAUAAUUUCAGAUAAAUACAUGUUUUCUGUAAAAUCCA
rnacentral:lncRNA from 1 species